rnacentral:rRNA from 1 species
GCAAGUCGAGCGGUAUCCUUCGGGAGAGAGCGGCGAACGGGUGAGUAACACGUAGGUUAUCUGCCCUGUAGACUGGGAUAGCCACUGGAAACAGUGAUUAAUACCGGAUAUUGUCGAAAGAUGAAAGGUGCGUUUGCACCACUACAGGAUGGGCCUGCAUUCUAUUAGUUUGUUGGUGGGGUAAUGGCCUACCAAGACUAUGAUAGAUAGCCGGCCUGAGAGGGUGUAC